GUUAUUGAUGCCAAAUUGCAAACCUUAUUUGCACCUUCUCUAUUCCAGAACCAAUGGGUGUGCCUGUCUUAUCACCUCAUAACUAGACACAGACCCGAAGACAUUCAAGCUGCAAGCAUCCCAAGUCUCUAAUGGUCCCAGUACUGGUUAAUGUGCAGGCCUAAGUGACCACACACACUCAAAUGGACCUACAGCUGGGACACACGAUGAGCACGAUCUGAACGCUGCAACUGAGACUGAAUGACGUUGAGACUCCGAGUAUGACUGGACAUGGGCCGGAUAUUUGUGACAACGACCUAAAAGGGGUGAAGCACAGCAGCAUCCAAUUUGAUGUUUAUUCCAUGGCCAUCCAUCCCUCUAGCUACCCCUUAUUCCACACGAUGCCUUUUAUGCUCCAUGUUCCCUCAACUUCGGACACUUUGGACCUCUCCAUCUUAUCUCUAUAAACCCACCCUACCUUCACCCAUCUUCCCUAUGCUGUUUCCUUCACUUGUUCUUCUCCUGAUUGGAAAACAUCUAGACUCAGUAACACAUUUUAAGUGUUGUGGUGUACUGUUUUUGCGACCUUUUUUUAAACCGGUGUAAUGCUGGCCUCCUGCUUAUUCUGGGGUUCAGACUGAAUGCAGUGUUAAAUUAAUGUUAAAAAAACGA